AUUGAACGCUGGCGGCAGGCCUAACACAUGCAAGUCGAACGAGUGGCGGACGGGUGAGUAAUGUCUGGGAAACUGCCUGAUGGAGGGGGAUAACUACUGGAAACGGUAGCUAAUACCGCAUACCAUCGGAUGUGCCCAUAUGGGAUUAGCUAGUAGGUGGGGUAAAGGCUCACCUAGGCGACGAUCCCUAGCUGGUCUGUGAGGAUGACCACCUACACUGGAACGGAGAAACAGUCCAGACUCCUACGUGAGGCGGCAGUGGGGAAUAUUGCACAAUGGACGCAAGACUGAUGCAGCCGGGCCGCGUGUAUGAAGAAGGCCUUCGGGUUGUAAAGUACUUUCAGCGAGAAGGCGUUACCCACAGAAGAAGCACCGGCUAACUCCGUGCAAGCAGCCGCGGUAAUUC
rnacentral:rRNA from 1 species